UUGAACGCUGGCGGCAUGCCUUACACAUGCAAGUCGAACGGUAACGCGGGGCGAACCCUACGCGACGAGUGGCGAACGGGUAGGAGUAAUACAUCGGAACGUAGUCCUGUUGUGGGGAGUAACCACUCGAAGGUAGAGCUAAUACCGCAUGAUCUGGAGACAGCAAAGACAGGGGACCGGUAACGGCCUUGCGCGAUUGGAGCGGCCGAUGUCCGAUUAGCUAGUUGGUGGGGUAAAGGCCCACCAAGGCAACGAUCGGUAGCUGGUCUGAGAGGAUGAUCAGCCACACUGGGACUGAGACACGGCCCAGACUCCUACGGGAGGCAGCA
rnacentral:rRNA from 1 species